CCUACGGGAGGCUGCAGUGAGGAAUAUUGGUCAAUGGGCGGAAGCCUGAACCAGCCAAGUAGCGUGCGGGAUGAAGGCCCUACGGGUCGUAAACUGCUUUUGCACGGGGAUAACACCCUCCACUUGUGGAGGUCUGCAGGUACCGUGCGAAUAAGGGCCGGCUAAUUCCGUGCCAGCAGCCGCGGUAAUACGGAAGGCCCGAGCGUUAUCCGGAUUCAUUGGGCUUAAAGGGAGCGUAGGCGGGCGUUAAAGUCAGCUGUAAAAUUGCGCGGCUCAACCGCGCCCCGCAGUUGAAACUGGACGCCUUGAGUUCACAACAGGCAGGCGGAAUUCGUGGUGUAGCGGUGAAAUGCAUAGAUAUCACGAAGAACCCCGAUUGCGAAGGCAGCCUGCCGGAGUGCAACUGACGCUGAGGCUCGAAGGUGCGGGUAUCAAACAGGAUUAGAUACCCGGGUAGUC
rnacentral:rRNA from 1 species